ensembl:rRNA 5S_rRNA 5S ribosomal RNA
GUCUACAGCCAUACCACCCUGAACAAGCCCGUUCCCGUCUGAUCUCGGAAGCUAAGCAGGGGCGGGCCUGGUUAGUACCUGGAUGGGAGACCACUUAGGAAGACCAAAUACUAUAGGUG